rnacentral:rRNA from 2 species
UCUGGUAAUGAUGGCGAGAAGGUCACACCUGUUUCCAUACCGAACACAGAAGUUAAGCUUCUCAGCGCCGAUGGUAAUUGGGGCAUUGCCCUUGUGAGAGUAGGACGUUGCCAGGC